rnacentral:rRNA from 1 species
AUUGAACGCUGGCGGCAGGCUUAACACUUGCAAGUCGAGCGGGGGAAGGUAGCUUGCUACUGGACCUAGCGGCGGACGAGUGAGUAAUGCUUAGGAAUCUGCCUAUUAGUGGGGGACAACAUCUCGAAAGGGAUGCUAAUACCGCAUACGUCCUACGGGAGAAAGCAGGGGAUCUUCGGACCUUGCGCUAAUAGAUGAGCCUAAGUCGGAUUAGCUAGUUGGUGGGGUAAAGGCCUACCAAGGCGACGAUCUGUAGCGGUUCUGAGAGGAUGAUCCGCCACACUGGGACUGAGACACGGCCCAGACUCCUACGGGAGGCAGCAGUGGGGAAUAUUGGACAAUGGGGGGAACCCUGAUCCAGCCAUGCCGCGUGUGUGAAGAAGGCCUUAUGGUUGUAAAGCACUUUAAGCGAGGAGGAGGCUACUCUAGUUAAUACCUAGGGAUAGUGGACGUUACUCGCAGAAUAAGCACCGGCUAACUCUGUGCCAGCAGCCGCCGUAA